CCAACGGCCCUCUUUAGGGCCACAAAUGUGAAUGAAACAGAUUCUGU
rfam:Steinernema glaseri strain NC unplaced genomic scaffold GLAS_2868, whole genome shotgun sequence.